AUGCACGCUGGCGGUAUGCUUCACACAUGCAAGUCGAACGGACUCUUCGGAGUUAGUGGCGGACGGGUGAGUAACGCGUGAGAAUCUGGCUUUGGGUUCGGGACAACCACUGGAAACGGUGGCUAAUACCGGAUGUGCCGAGAGGUAAAAGAGAAAUUGCCUGAAGAUGAGCUCGCGUCUGAUUAGCUAGUUGGUGAGGUAAAGGCUCACCAAGGCAGCGAUCAGUAGCUGGUCUGAGAGGAUGACCAGCCACACUGGGACUGAGACACGGCCCAGACUCCUACGGGAGGCAGCAGUGGGGAAUUUUCCGCAAUGGGCGAAAGCCUGACGGAGCAAUACCGCGUGAGGGAAGAAGGCUCUUGGGUUGUAAACCUCUUUUCUUAGGGAAGAACAAAAUGACGGUACCUAAGGAAUCAGCAUCGGCUAACUCCGUG
rnacentral:rRNA from 1 species